rnacentral:lncRNA from 1 species
AGCAGGUGGGCGGAGUCAGGCCCAUGAGGGAGGGGCUGUAAAAACACACUCCUCUUCAUAUGAAGUGGCUGAGUCUGCAGUAUCCCCGCCUGUCCGUCAGCAGGAGCUCCACACCAGCAUCUCCUCACCCGCCUGAAGAAAUCCAAAAACAUGGAAUUCUGGGAUGGAAGAGAGAGGCAUGCAUCGCCAUAUGGAAAGUACAGAACUGUUCCUGGGUGGAGCUCAUCCUCACACAUAUAUCCUAGCAAGACUCCUGCAGCACCCAACCCAGAGCCCAGAGCUGAGUACCAGGGCUGGAUGAGUCAACCAAGCAGUUGGAUGAUUCCAGGGUCGAGAACUGCUGGGACUAUGAGAGACUAUGUAAACUGGACUGACAUAGCACCUUCAUCACGCUGUCCUCCUGAAAAUCUGCACUGCCCUCAAGAGUUAGCUACUACAUACAGUGGUCAGGAGAGAGGUUUAGACGGACAGAGUGUUCUGUCAGACCGACACAGAGAAAAGGAGAGGCUGGUACAAAGAGGGCAGUUGGCAAAUAAAUGGCAAACUUGCAGUUCAACUCUUCACCGAAAAGAAAAGGAAAAACUUAGUGCCAACAGUUUUCGAGAGCUGGAGGCUUGGGCCAACCGUUAUUACCACUCUCUGCCCAGACAAAGGCAUCUAGAAGCAGGGAAGUGGAAUGCAACUCAGAACUUUCCGGAAUGUGAAAGGAUGUCAAGGCCUGCAAGGAAGAUAGUUGGUCCAGAUCCCAACCAACUGCCCCCUGCAAACACUUCUGUCCCACAUAAUCAAGAAAAGAGCAACCUCAAUAACAGACUGAGGGCUCAGUUGGAGGCUUGGAAGGCACAGCAACUACCUUCUUAUGUACCAGCAAAGCAGAGUCCUUCAAGGAAGAAUACAGUCCUGAGCCAAUCUUUCAGCCAUCCCCCAAAUUACAUGUCCCCACCACCAUACAGUGGUCCACAGGAUACAAACAUCAUGCAGGUACCUGGACAAUGCACAGCAAAGGCCAGGGCUGAACCCAUGAUGGAGUACAGAGUUGAGAGCAGACCGGUUACCUCUGCAUUUCCUGUGCCAAGAACAUCAGAUCAUUCCUUUGUCCCCUCGAUGGAGGGAAGACAACACAUAGCACAUCCAUCAAAUGAUGGGAUCUCAAGAAAUUUAGAUUUGACUUACCCUGAAGCAGAUCAAGCCAGGAAACAGCAAAUGCUGUUAAGCACACUUGCAAAAUCCCUUGCUGUUAAACAGCAGGCAGUCCAGAAGCAAGAGGCUGCCAUGCCACAAGAAUCAUCACAUCAGAUCUCUGAGAAAAAUCAGAUGUCCUACUUGGAUGAUGCGCUCCCCCAGCAGUGCAAACCCAAAAAAAGAAGAGGUGGAGAGACAGUGUUUUGCUUGGUCUCUCGUAUGGGUGAACUAGCUGGAUUGUCCAGUUCCCCUGAUGAACCACUCAAAUCCCACUCGCUGCCUCUUCUAAACGUCCCAACUCCUGGAGGUACAAAAGCAAAGCAGAGUUGUGAAAGGCAGCAAGAAAGCCAAGAGCCAGUUAAGCUGGCAGAUGAAGUCGAUUCUGAAUCUUUAAUGCCCCAUAAAGUAGAGGAAGUUAUAUCUGAAAGAAAUCAAGACAAGACUUCUGAGCAGAUCUUAACAGAUCAGGAAGUUACCAACAAAGAAAGACUACAGAGAGAAAUUCAGGAGACUUUGUUGGCAAAACAUACUGUAAAACAAUGCUUUCAAACUAUCAAAGAAAGUGAAGACCCUAAAACCAGUGUACCUUAUAAGGUAGAAGGAAGUAUUGAUCCUUGUGUAUCCUCUGAAUCUCCUCUAGCACCUGAGACAACCGAGAGCCUGGUGGCACCACACAGUAAUCAAACCACAGUAAAAUUCCCUGUAUGGAAGGAACCAAAACGGCACAACUGCUCAAAAGAAAAGCCAAACAAAGAUAUUAGUAAUGUAGGCCAAAAAGAAGAAGCAACUGACGCACAACCAAAGCAAUCAGAAGUCAGACAUAAUAUUAACACAAUCAAAGACAAGAACAGAGGUCUUGUGGUCAUAGAUGCUACUUGCGUUGUCGUUAAAGUUGAGUUCAUCUUUCCUCCUGAAAAGGAGCAUGUCCAGUACGUGUGUUCACGUUCAAGUGACUCAUAUGAACACAGCUCAGAAUCUCUGAACCUUCAAGUCCAAAAUGAUGACCACAGUAACAAUGAUACAAUAGGUGCAAUGGAGAAAAGUUCUGUUGCAAACAAUUUGCAGGAAGUUCACGUGCAAAUCCAAGAGAAGCACGAUGAUGAUUUGAGGAACAGAAGUCCAAUAAAUGUUUUGAGUGAUAUAGUUCUUAAAGAUCCAAACCAAAUUCCAAAUGAGGUCAUUUCUGAAAAUGAAACUCUCAAGGAAAGAGCAGAAAGGAUUCUUGGAAUUACAUUCCAGAAUUCCAGCAAUGAAGGGCAUACACUGGAUGAGCUGCCUCAAAUGUCCGAAACAAAAGAGGAUCUCCAAAGGAUUCAAGAGGAGCCAGAGGGAUGUUCUGUAGCUGAAGUUGAUGUUGUCAGGAACACGGAAAGUCAGUUGAUUGGAGAGGAAUCAUCUGAUAAUCUUGAACCCCCAACAAAGGAGACCUCAGGGUUGAUGACGAGUACCGAAGGGAUUCUAGAAGAAUCGGAGGUGAAUCUCGGAGAUAGUGUAAAGACACUUCAAACACAUGAGGUCAUUGCAGUUGAAGUUACUAAACAGGAAAAUGAAGACACUUCAAAAGACGAUAAAGCUAUGCUGCAAGAAAUUUUUACAACACAGAAUACAGAAGCUGAGUCAAGAUCCAAUUCUGACAUUGAAACUAUCCAAUAUCUGAACAAUAGUUUAGAGGGCAAAGUCAACAGAUGUACCUCUAAUGAAACAAGUGGCACAAAUGUUCUCCUUUUAUCUUUCUUUGAUGACUGUGUGGAAAAAACAACCCAGUCUUUCCACCAAGAAGGUAGUCCCAGAGAGGGUAAUCCAUUGUGUGAAACAGGUGAUGAAAAUAACACCUACUCAACCCUCCCAGAUGAUUUGGUUGAAGACAGUUGUAAGAUUCAUACCCAGGAAGAAACUCCAGGUGAGGGCAUUCUCUCAAAUGACCUGCAGAUUUUUUGCCCAACCCUAAUUCAAGACUUACCUGAGGAGGGUGACUCUUUAUUAGAAAUGGGUGACAGCUAUGAUGAACACAAUGAAUCAUUUGACAAAGAAGGAACCUCCAGAGACAGUGGGACUUCAAAUGCAACUGAUGAUGUAGGCAAUCAAAUGGAAACCUUUAUGGAGACUGCUGGUGAAUUCAUUGGGCAAAGAGAUGCUACCAGCCUUUCAGAUAAAAACGAUGACAAAAAGAAUACCUGCUCUCUUCUUGGCCACUCUGUAGAGGGCACAAUUGAGCCGGAAUUUAGCCAAGAAGGUACCCUCUUUAAUGAACCAGAUGACCUGCAGAACAUUUGUCCAUCCGUUCUUGGCAAAUCUUUGGAAGGCCCUAGUGAAAUAGUUAUUCAAGAAGCUCCUAGUUCCAAGGAGGACGUCCCGUCAAAUCCAUUUGGAGAGAAAGAUCCAGGGGAGUGCAUCCCCUUAGAUGAAAUGGAUAGCAUUGAAAAUGUACGUUCAGGCUUCUUUGAUGACCAUGUAGAAGACAAUUGUCAGAGAUACUGUCCAGAGCAAAGUGUAGAGGAUGCCAACGAGUCAAAUAAAGCUGUUAGUAGCUCUGUGAAAGAUUUGAAUGAUCAAGAAAGUAAACCCAAAGAAAGUUCCCAGUCAACUGAACAAGAUGAUGCCAGCGUUCCUGGUCUAGUUCUGCAUCUUGACUCUAGCAAACCAUAUAGCAAAGAGGGUGGGCUCAUGGAGGGUAACCUCUCAGAUGAAGCAGAUGGCACAAGGAUUCCUUGUCCAAUUUUUUGUAACUCUGAUGAAAAUAAAAGUCAGUUGGUAACUGAACAAGAAGACAGUUACCAAGCAUUUGGAACCUCAGAUAAAACCGAUACUGUACAGAACCUUCAUGGAACUCUUCAUGGAAGUUUUGAGAAAGACUUGCUUGAGUUGUCUUGCCAGGAAAGCAGAUCCAACAAGGAUAGCCUCUUGAAUGAAACAGAGGAUGUGAACAUAAUGGACCAUGGAGAUAUCUCACUUCUGGCACUUUCAGCACUUUAUUGUUCCACUCUGCAUGAACAAGAGUCAACUUCCCAGUCACCUCCUGAAUCUCUGUCACCCUGUUUGUCUGAAUCUUCUCAAAAGCUGAACAAAUGUUGUUUAUUGACACCAUCACUUCUUGAGACUUCUUGUUCAAGUUCACAAUCUGAACAUCAGAAUGAAUUAUUGUCGCUUUUCUCUUUUCAAACUGACAUCAACCCUUCAACUCUACCAACUCCAGAUUGUUCUGAUCACUCUCGACUUCUGGAGAGCUGCUCUCAGACUGGUAACAUUCACUGUGAGGUCUGGUCUCCAACUUCUUCCACGUCAACAAAAUGCACGAAAAAGCAGUAUCCCAAAUCAUUGUGGGACGCAGUGAACCGCAUUCGUAAACACACCGCACCUGAUUCAGAAACCGAAGACGAGGAGAGCGGAGUUGAACUUUGGGAACAAAUGGAAAACACCGUUGUGGAAGAUCACUUAACUGAUGACACGGAGGUGCAACUGCAGGAAUCUGUCCUGGAAGAGGGAAGAAUAGGUGACAUUAUUGAACGUAAUGAUGAUAAAGAGCAAAAUUCACCAGCAAAAGUCUCCAUCGUAUCUGAUAUGUAUCUGGUAGAUGGGACUAUCGAGAAAGGCAUUCCAUUAGAGGAACAGGGACAUUUGGACGAGGUCGAGAGGACAGUAGACGUAGGUCAACCUGAAGAUGAUACUCUGUCCAGCAGCAGCCUGGACAGUCACGAUUCAAACAACACAGUUAUUGAGGGAGAGGGAAAUGAAAAAAUAUUGGAAAGUGAUACAGAAGAAGAUGGGAACAAUGAGGAAGUACUUCAGACACCUUAUUUGAUCAAUAAGAAUAAAGGAAUUUCCAGUGAAAAGCUGGAUUUAUCCAGUGUCUUGGAGGAAGAUGACAACUGUGAGAUUUCUGCGGUUUUCAAAGAUAAUCAAUAAGAUAAAUAAAAUGCAAAAUAUAUAUAUGUUAUUAAGUUAU